rnacentral:rRNA from 1 species
GAUGAACGCUAGCUACAGGCUUAACACAUGCAAGUCGAGGGGUAACGAGAGGGAAGCUUGCUUUCCUUGUCGACGACCGGCGCACGGGUGAGUAACGCGUAUCCAACCUGCCCCCAACUAGGGAAUAACCUUGCGAAAGUAAGACUAAUACCCUAUAAUUUCCUCAGAUGUCAUCUGACGAGGAAUAAAGAUUUAUCGGUUGUGGAUGGGGAUGCGUCUGAUUAGCUUGUUGGCGGGGUAACGGCCCACCAAGGCAACGAUCAGUAGGGGUUCUGAGAGGAAGGUCCCCCACAUUGAAACUGAGACACGGUCCAAACUCCUACGGGAGGCAGCAGUGAGGAAUAUUGGUCAAUGGGCGGAAGCCUGAACCAGCCAAGUAGCGUGCAGGAUGACGGCCCUAUGGGUUGUAAACUGCUUUUAUACAGGAAUAAAGUUAGCCACGUGUGGUUAUUUGUAGGUACUGUAUGAAUAAGGACCGGCUAAUUCCGUGCCAGCCGCCGCUGUAA